rnacentral:rRNA from 1 species
CUAAGGUAGCGUGAUAAGUCGCCCUUUAAUUGUGGGCUUGUAUGAACGGACGAACGAGAGCUAUUCUGUCUCCCCAGCACAUAUAAAAAUUAAUCUUCAGGUGAAGAAGCCUGAAUAACCCCAGCGGACAAAAAGACCCUAAAGAGCUCCGUCAAGAAUCCCCAUAGAUCUUAUACUUUAUAAACUCUACUUCUAUACACUUGACUUAACUGGGGCGGUUAAGGAGCACAUCACAACCUCCAUUUCACAUUUAAGGCCUACUCGCCUCCCACACUUGAUCCUUCUAAGAACAAAGGAAAAAGCUACCUUAGGGAUAACAGACUAAUCCUCCUCAAGAGUACACAUUGACAGGAGGGAUUGGCACCUCGAUGUUGGCUUAGGGUAACUAGGGGGUAGCAGCAGCCCCCCAAGUAGGUUUGUUCAACCUUUAAUUCCCUACAUGAUCUGAGU